rnacentral:rRNA from 1 species
GGGGUCCGACUAAGCCAUGCGAGUCAAGGGGGCGUCCCUUCUGGGACGCCACCGGCGGACGGCUCAGUAACACGUCGGUAACCUACCCUCGGGAGGGGGAUAACCCCGGGAAACUGGGGCUAAUCCCCCAUAGGCCUGGGGUACUGGAAGGUCCCCAGGCCGAAAGGGAGCCGUAAGGCUCCGCCCGAGGAUGGGCCGGCGGCCGAUUAGGUAGUUGGUGGGGUAACGGCCCACCAAGCCGAAGAUCGGUACGGGCCGUGAGAGCGGGAGCCCGGAGAUGGACACUGAGACACGGGUCCAGGCCCUACGGGGCGCAGCAGGCGCGAAACCUCCGCAAUGCGGGAAACCGCGACGGGGGGACCCCCAGUGCCGUGCCUCUGGCACGGCUUUUCCGGAGUGUAAAAAGCUCCGGGAAUAAGGGCUGGGCAAGGCCGGUGGCAGCCGCCGCGGUAAUACCGGCGGCCCGAGUGGUGGCCACUAUUAUUGGGCCUAAAGCGGCCGUAGCCGGGCCCGUAAGUCCCUGGCGAAAUCCCACGGCUCAACCGUGGGGCUCGCUGGGGAUACUGCGGGCCUUGGGACCGGGAGAGGCCGGGGGUACCCCCGGGGUAGGGGUGAAAUCCUAUAAUCCCGGGGGGACCGCCAGUGGCGAAGGCGCCCGGCUGGAACGGGUCCGACGGUGAGGGCCGAAGGCCAGGGGAGCGAACCGGAUUAGAUACCCGGGUAGUCCUGGCUGUAAAGGAUGCGGGCUAGGUGUCGGGCGAGCUUCGAGCUCGCCCGGUGCCGUAGGGAAGCCGUUAAGCCCGCCGCCUGGGGAGUACGGCCGCAAGGCUGAAACUUAAAGGAAUUGGCGGGGGAGCACUACAAGGGUGG